rnacentral:rRNA from 1 species
AGUGAACGCUGGCGGUAGGCCUAACACAUGCAAGUCGAACGGCAGCACAGUAAGAGCUUGCUCUUACGGGUGGCGAGUGGCGGACGGGUGAGGAAUACAUCGGAAUCUACUUUUUCGUGGGGGAUAACGUAGGGAAACUUACGCUAAUACCGCAUACGACCUACGGGUGAAAGCAGGGGAUCUUCGGACCUUGCGCGAUUGAAUGAGCCGAUGUCGGAUUAGCUAGUUGGCGGGGUAAAGGCCCACCAAGGCGACGAUCCGUAGCUGGUCUGAGAGGAUGAUCACCCCCCCUGGAAUGGGAACACGGCCCAGACCCCUAGGGGAGGCAGCGGGGGGGAAUAUGGGACAAUGGGCGCAAGCCUGACCCAGCCAAACCGGGGGGGUGAAGAAGGCCUUCGGGUUGUAAAGCCCUUUUGUUGGGAAAAAAAAGCAGCAGGUUAAUACCCCGCUGUUCUGACGGUACCCAAAGAAUAAGCACCGGCUAACUUCGU